CAGUUUUUGAUUAAUGCAAGUUUUGUGUGGCCGCUAUUUUGGGAAAAAAGUAAAAUGGCGGACUACUAGAUAGACCAAAAUCUUCAAAGCCCUUU